AGGAAAUCCUUUUCCCUGCUAACAUUUAUUUGCAGUUGGAUGUGAAGGCAUGGAAAUGUAAAACAUGAAGGCAGUACACAAGAUGAGGAGCUUUAUUCAAGCAAUUGUAGCAUGUCAUGUUUUGCCUGUACAUAACCACAGCUGUGAAUUGGUGUGAGAACCUGAUUUUUUUUUUUUUAAUCUAGGCAUAUCAUAUGAACAGAAUUCCAGAAUAUGAUACAACCCAAAACAUACACGACUCGGAAUAAGAGAACACUGCAGUUGUUAUAACUGAUGGCAAGCUUACAAUGACUUUGUUCGUUCUGUGGGACAAGAAAAUUUAAAUAUAAAACAAGCAGAACAGAUACCAACAUGAAAUGCUCUGUAUUUGCCAUACGAGGAGAGAUUUGUGAUUGCAUCAGCCUGCAGAGAGAGUAGCUGGAAACUAUCCGAGCGUGAUGACUAAACAGAAACUGAUCUGUUGUUUGCUGGCUGGCACGAACAAGUAUUGCCAAAGCUAGGAAAUUCAGAAGGCAAAAACAAGUAGUAGUAACCCACUUCUAGGCAUGCAUUACAACAUGAUCAAAGAGCAACAUCUCCCAGAAAGAGAAGUAAACUAACGGAACAGUAGUUUUAGAGUGAGGGCAUUUCAUCUUAACUGUUCAGAAUGCAGUGCUAGGGAUGGGCCUGUUAUUAACACAACACUUCCUUCCUUUUCUAAUUUGCCAUUAACAUUUUUCUUAUACCUUGAAUCCCAAGUCUGCUGACCUUUCAGAAUGGAGCAUGGUUAACUUGAAGGGUGUAUAAUUUAACAGUUUCAACUGCUCAAAAAAAGAUCUGUUAAGUGAAUUUGGAUUUAUCACAGGCCAUCAGACACUCAGCAACAGAUGAAAACGUAGUUAUUAUUCUCUUCAAUCUUCUCUACUUAGAUUACAUCUAAGUCAAUAUCCUACAGUCUGAACUCAGGUACCAGAGAUAGCAGAGACAAUGAGUUCAGUAUCUGCCCCUUACUGGUCAGGAGGCAGGAUACAAACAAUUGCUACAGCAGACUGGGGAAGAUCAUUGCAAUACUGGUAUUCAUCAUUUGUUGUUGUGAUACUUUCAAUGAGAUUAGAUACACUCAAAACCAAACGUCAAUAAGUGACAAAAGCUCCUCUUAAGAAACUGUUAAAACCAACAAAAAACACUCAUGUUCUCAGACUGGGAAGAAUUGGGUAUUACUGCUAUAGAAGAGCAAGUAAAGCAAGCAGAGGGUACAAUGUCUCUUUUCCUGUACAGGGGAAUCUCAGGCAAGGAACGUUUCCUGUGGUAUUUGUUCCUUAAUGAGGAAAACUGUAGCCAACAAGCAGGAAGAGACAUAAUCCCCUUACUGACCACUCUACAGCUGCAUCAGGCCAUGCUGCACAUCUGGAAGCACACAACAGAGGAAAGUAGAAGCUAUUUUUCCUCAUCUUCCUUUCAG
ensembl:lncRNA